GGCCGGUUGGCUCAGCUGGUUAGAGCGUGGUGCUAAUAACGCCAAGGUUGCGGGUUCGAUCCCCGUACUGGCCA
rfam:Danio rerio chromosome 4, GRCz11 reference primary assembly.